GGGGACCCGCACAAGCAGCGGAGCGUGUGGUUUAAUUCGUUGCUACACGAAGAACCUUACCUGGGUUUGACAUAUAGGUUGUAGGGAACUGAAAAGGGACCGACCCUUCGGGGAGCCUAUACAGGUGUUGCAUGGCUGUCGUCAGCUCGUGUCGUGAGAUGUUCGGUUAAGUCCGCUAACGAGCGCAACCCUCGUCGUAUGUUAUAUGUGUCAUACGAGACUGCCGGUAAAAGCCGGAGGAAGGUGAGGAUGAUGUCAAGUCAGCAUGACCUUUAUAUCCAGGGCUACACACACGCUACAAUGGUCUGUACAAUGGGUAGCCAAGCCGCGAGGCGGAGCCAAUCCUGAAAGCAGGCCUCAGUUCAGAUUGCAGUCUGCAACUCGACUGCAUGAAGCCGGAGUUGCUAGUAACCGCAGGUCAGCAAUACUGCGGUGAAUACGUUCCCGGGUCUU
rnacentral:rRNA from 1 species